rnacentral:rRNA from 1 species
GACGAACGCUGGCGGCGUGCUUAACACAUGCAAGUCGAACGAUGAACCCGGAGCUUGCUCCGGUGGAUUAGUGGCGAACGGGUGAGUAACACGUGAGUAACCUGCCCUUGACUCUGGGAUAACUGCGGGAAACUGUAGCUAAUACCGGAUACGACCCUCGGCGGCAUCGCCCGGGGGUGGAAAGAAUUUCGGUCAAGGAUGGACUCGCGGCCUAUCAGCUGGUUGGUGAGGUAACGGCUCACCAAGGCGACGACGGGUAGCCGGCCUGAGAGGGUGACCGGCCACACUGGGACUGAGACACGGCCCAGACUCCUACGGGAGGCAGCAGUGGGGAAUAUUCCACAAUGGGGGCAACCCUGAUGGAGCAACGCCGCGUGCAGGAUGAAGGCCUUCGGGUUGCAAACUGCUUUUGUCUGUGACGAAUAUGACGGUAGCAGACGAAUAAGGGUCGGCUAACUACGUGCCAGCAGCCGCCGUAAAAC